CAUUAACAGGUGUGACGCAGGAAGGUAGCCAAGCCGGGCGAUGGUUGUCCCGGUCUAAGGAUGUAGGGCAGAACGUAGGCAAAUCCGCGUUCUUGUGUUCGAUCACGGGCCUGAGAUCUGAUGGGACCCCCGUAUGGGGGAAUUUGGUGAUCCUAUGCUGCCGAGAAAAGCCUCUAGCGAGUUCCGAGCGGCCCGUACCCCAAACCAACUCAGGUGGUCAGGUAGAGAAUACCAAGGCGAUCGAGUGA
rnacentral:rRNA from 1 species